rnacentral:misc_RNA from 1 species
GGAAGUAAAGUCGUAACAAGGUUUCCGUAGGUGAACCUGCGGAAGGAUCAUUACAGAGAAUGCAAAUUAGUUUGCAUGAAAACUUUUCGUGGGGCGCACCCAUUGCGGGUGGCGGCCUCAUGUUGACCGGUGUAUUGUGAAACUUGUAUGCUUGGCGGGAGUUAUGGACGGUGAGAGUAAGCUUUCGGGCUUUCCUCCUUUGCCAUGCCCGCCAAAGUUUUUAACCACAAUCUGAAAUUUAUCAUAUCUAAUAACAGUUUUUUAUUACAACUGUUGGCAACGGAUCACUCGGCUCUC